GUUGGGGUUUUUCAUCUACAAAAUUGCCCUUUUCCUGGCUGAUUUUGAAGUGUAACUAGUGAGAACGUUUUUCUCUCUCCAAGAUCUAAUGAAAAUCACUAUUGGAGAGAUCAGAGAUAGAGAACAAGUUGGAAAAAUAAUUGAAGGAGGAAUCAGAAGAAGAAAGAAGUCCUGUGUCUCACAAGAAAAGGAAGACUGCUACAGUAAUAGGAGGCAGUUUGAAAGCAAAAGCCAAGAGUGGAAAGUGACAAAAUGAGCAUUAAGGAGUGGGAGGAGUGGCCAGAGUGUGAACUGGUUUUGAAAGAGAAAGCAAAGGCAAAGAAAACAAACUUUUUGGGGCAGGGACUGUCUUGUUAUAUGUAUGUACAGUGCCUAGCAAAACGGGGCCUAGUCUGUGACUGGGGCUUCUAGAUACCACUACAAUGUAGUACUAAUAAGAUAGAGGUAAAGGCAUUGUAGGCUGGCAGAUGAGUUUGAAUUUGAGAAAAGAGAAAUCAUGCUAAUGCAGAGGGCAAGGAGAGGGUUGACCUGGCUGGAGCUACAGGAGAGGGAGAUGAUGAAAUUGUGCUUUCUUCAUUGUCAUGCUGCAGACUCAUACGUUUAGUUCUGGCUUUGCCUAGUUCCAUCCCCUGUGUACCAACCAAGACGGCAGCCAUCACACCUAGAUAGACAAGACUCUAACUGAAAUGCAUAAAGAACUGCUGCCUAGGUGGCUCAACCAAAGCAAGAACUACAUCCAUUCCAGUUUGAUACUUCCAUCGGAGGUGAAGACCCCAUCGAAGGUGGCAGUAACAUGUUCCCUUCCAGGUUCUGUGCUUGCUUGUGAGACAUUGUGCCUUGUGCCAGCAGGCUGUCUCCCCAGCCCUUUAUGCAAGUAGCUAACUGUCACUCCCACUUUCCUAGAGUUGUUUUUUUGUAACAAGAUUUAGUCCUUUGUGUGUAUAUGUUUUUGUAUAUAAAAUCUAUCAAGUUCCAGCCCAAGAAAUCAAUUUUUCCUUUAAGCUUAUCCAAUUUACUUCUGACUGCAUUAACAUUCAGCUGCUAGUCCUACUCUGUAACUUUGGAUACUUGAUUUCAUGUCUUGUAAAUUGUAAUUAAUCAUUUCCUCUCUACUGUGAAAGGUAUUACAACAACAUCUACACUGUCUAUGGAUUUUUAUCUGUUUACAUUCAACUGACAUUUUACUGACGUUAAUUGUACAUAUUGUUUGAACCAACAAGGUAUAAAAUUAGGGAGCAACCUUU